rnacentral:rRNA from 1 species
CUGACGGUAGUCGUAUGCUCGUCUCCGAGACUAAGCCAUGCAAGUCCAAGUACACGUCCUUGAACGACGGAAACUGCGAACGGCUCAUUAAAUCAGUUGCGAUCUACUCGGCGUUCCGCGCCGCCGGAUAACCGUAGUAAUUCUAGGGCUAAUACGUGCGAAGCGCCCGAAGCCGCGAGGCGACGGGCGUUCUCGCCGGAUGUAGGAACCGACCCGGGGACCGCCGGGGCAACCCGGCGCCCCCGAGACGGGGCGAACCACGGUGAAAUGACGGAUCGUCGGCCCCGCGCCGGCGACUCGCCGAAUGAGUUUCUGACCUAUCAACUCGAGACGGCGGGGUAGAGGCCCGCCGCGGUAACGACGGGUAACGGGGAAUCAGGGUUCGAUUCCGGAGAGGGAGCCCGAGAAACGGCUACCACUUCCAAGGAAGGCAGCAGGCGCGCAACUUACCCUAAUCUCGAUUCGAGGAGGUAGUG